GCAUAAUCUCCCUGCGCUCAUUGGUUCUCAGCUAAUGGGAAGGUGAGGUCUGACUUCAUUUAUGGGAAUAAACAGAAUAUAUAAGUCCCUGCAGCUGCUGCAGAAUCACCGUCAGAGAAAGUUCUUGCUUCAACAGUGAUUGAACGGAACUGCUUCUGAUAUUCAGAAACAAAAUCAUUUUACUCUACCAGUUCUUUAAGAUCAACAGCAACAUGAACUCUCACGUGCGUCAGAACUACAGCCAUGACAGCGAGGCAGCCAUUAACCGCAUUGUGAACCUUAAAAUGUUUGCGUCGUACACCUACCUAUCCUUGGUAAGUUGAAAAAUAUCUUGAUAUUUGACAGUGUUUAUAGUAGUUUACAUAUUAAACUUGCAAAGUUCCAAGAACACUCUGAUAGAUUUUCUUAAAGGGACACUAUAGUCACCUGAACAACUUCAGCUUAAUGAGGUUGUUCAGGUGAGAACUAUAGCUCCCUGCAGCCUUUCUCAUGUAAACACUGUAUUUUCUGAGAAAAUACUGUGUUUACACUGAAAGCUAGGUACACCUCCUGUUGCAGUCACUCAGAGUGAACCAGAGGAACUUCGGAGUUGAUGGAGGCAUAAUAUGCCUCCAUCCACUCAGAUCUGCUGUCAGCAGAGCACAGGGCAGCACUGUGCACAGCAUCCUGUGAUUCAGUAUCUCCUACCUCUGCAUGCAGAUACUGAACUUUCCUCAUAUAGAUUCAUUGAUUUAAUUCAUCUCUAUGAGGAGAUGCUGAUUGGCCUGGGCUGUGUUUGAAUCAUGCUGGCUCUGCCCCUGAUCUGCCUCCUUCUCAGUCUCAGCCAAUCCUAUGGGGAAGCACUGUGAUUGGAUCAGGCUACUACAUGUCAGCAGACUGCUUGUUUUUCUGAGUCUAACAGCAUGCAGAUUUCCAGCUUCAGGCUUGAAUACAGUAAGAUUUUUACUAUAUUUAUGGAAGUAUGAGGGAUCCAAGGGGGGCUAGAUGGUGGUGUUAACACUAUAGGGUCAGGAAUACAUGUUUGUGUUCCUGACCCUAUAGUGAUCCUUUAAAACAGAUUAAUCAGAAAUAUGUCUAUCUACCCGAUCUAUAUAUGGGUCUAUAUAUAUUUAAUUUUGUCCAUUUUUAUUGUUAGUCUUACUACUUUGACCGUGAUGAUGUGGCUCUCCAUCACGUAGCAGAGUUUUUCAAGGAGCAGAGCCAGGAGGAGCGGGAGCAUGCCGAAAAACUUCUGAAAUACCAAAGCAAGCGCGGAGGGCGGAUCAUUCUGCAGGAUGUGAAGGUAAACAUGAGCAAUGGCAAACAAUAUUUGGGGCAGGGAAAGGUAAUCUGUAUGAAUCUGGGCUUGGUUAUCAAUCACAAAAAAAAGUUUUAUUUAAAAAAAAAAAAAAUACAGAAAAUAAAAGCCUGUCAAAUGUGCCUAUCUGUGGUGAGUUACAAAAUAGUAUAUUCCUUUUUAGCACCAAACAUAGCUCUAUGUGACAUGGGGCCAAGACUUGGGCAGAUUUAUUCAUGACAAGGAGAAUUCAAAGUGAAUUUCACAUUUAAAUCCAAGCACCCCGACAGGUGCCAUAGCGGAAUAAAGAAUUAGAGAAUGUUUCCAGUUCAGCUAUUUUUGCCUUACAUUUGAAGUAUACGUUGAAUUCUCAUUUUACUAAAAAACUUACUUUCAAGGGAAUAAUCUUAAUACUAAACAAAUUACGAAUAUGGAUUAUUAUCCAUAGAAAUAUAACACAUGUGUAUAUAAUGUUUUAGGUACAUAAUGAUUUAAAAAACAGUUUUUACCCAUGUGAGGUUUUAUUCACUAAAUUAUGAAUUGGAGAAAAUCAAGGUGUAAAAUUUGCUGAAAAAUGUUCCAGUUCUGUUAUUUCAGCCUAAAAUGAGCAAUUACUUUUACAAUUAUGUAGAAAUCUGAAUUCUCUAAAUUGUAUCAGGCUAUAUCAUACUUUAGGUCAAAUGAGCAGAUUUGGAAACGUUAAUAAAUACGACACAUUCAAAGGGCAACUAGCACUUUCCUGGAUUUUUAAUAUGGGUGGUCCUCGUUUUGUGACCUACCUGUUUUACCACGGCUCGCACUUAUGAUCAUCUCUCUCGUGGGGUGGUAAGUGCGAGCCGUCGUGGGGAUUAGAGGGAUUCCCUGCUCUUGUGCGUACGUCUAUGUUCGGGGAAAUGUCUCUGAACACAGACAUUCGCACCAGAGCAGGGAACCCUUUAAAUCCCAAGUUCGGGGAAAUUUGCACGAACAUAGAUUAGAUGGCUUCCCUGCUCUGGUGCGUUCGUCUAUGUUUGGGGAAAUUUCCCUGAACAAAGACAAGCGCACCAGAGCAGGGAAACCCUUAACUCCUCACUUACCGAGCAAUUUGUUCUACGACCGGGUCAUAGGAACGGAACCCGGUCGGUAAGUGAGGAUAUAUAUGCACAAAUACGCUUUUUUGAGGCCUGAUCCUAGGGUCACAGGUGCCUGGGUGCAGAAAUUUAUUUGGCACCCCCAGGUGGGCAUGGUCAUCUUGCUAACUGUUGCCAUAAAAACUUGGCAAAUGUUCAGUCCAGGCAUGCAUGUUUCUUUUGUAAUGACUCCAUCACUCCAUUUAUAUGCCCCACCCCUUUUUGUAAUUAGACACACAAUCAGACGCACACACGCAAGGAAAGCAGGUGCCUACUCUGCCUUCACCUAGUAAGAACCACCUCUUGGGCCCCCUGUGACACUCCAUCUGUUCGCUUCUCAUGGCGCAACCCACCUCCUGGCACUGGGCACGCUGCACCAGCUGAGGAUCGGGCCUGGCCCUAGCUAUGCCUGGAAUUAACUGAAUUGUGAUAACAUUUUCUAAAUCUUUAAUAUACAUUUUUGAUACAUGAUUAAGGCUUUACGGCUGAAACAUUGUAUCUUUGUUUUGUCUCCUGGACCAUAAAUAAAUAUACUGUAUUCUUAACGCUGCACUGUGUAGCCUGUGGCUCUAUACUUCUGGUUUUAUAGCACACACAGAACUCCAGUGAAUCAAGAUACUAGUGUGCAGCACUCCACUUGCGAGUUAAAAGAAAUCAUAGCAGCACAAAUGGUUUACAUGCCCCUUUUGUGGGUGGUUACUUCCCAGACCUACCAACAGUCUUGCUUUUGGCUCGACAGGUCUGAUUUUGGGGACCUGUCCCACUGGGGAUCUGACCCCAGAGAGCACAGCGUAAAGCAAUCAUUAAAUGGUUUCAAAGUGUACUUAUCAUGGUUCACAGUUAGAUUUAAAUAAGAGAUGAAAAUUUCACUUAGGCAUUAUGCUAGCAAAAUGCUUAAAAAAUUUGGUCCCCCUCCACUUAUCAAUCAUUUCUAAGCAGAGAUCACUAUGCUGAUGGCAUAAAGGUUUAUGGCAACAAAUGAACAACAAGGUAGAACAGGAGAACCUUCUCAACAGUGGCGCACAUAUAGGGGUCACAGCUGCAAAUGGGCCGUCACUCCAGGGGGCCCAGCCGCCCUGCCGACCCCUGCGACAGGCUGCCCGCUGUCAUGUUUUGCGACCCCGGCCCGUGCAGCAAACUGCCGGAGCCGCCGUUCAAUGGGUCCAUCGGGUGGCACAGGCUGUUAGGGCCACCCGAUGGGUAUGGAUUUCCAGGGGGCCCGGUCAGCGCUGUGGCACUUUAACAGCGCAACUGGGCCCCCUGUGAUGACAUCACACGUUGGGAGGAAAAGACUGUCCUGGUCACUCCUCCCAGCAUACACAGAGCCCACGCGGGAGGAAGCAGAGGAGGGAGUCAUAGUGGGAACUCUGACUCCCAUCAACCUGAGCCACCACUGGACCCCAGGGAAAGUCACCCUACUGCAACUAAAAGGUAGGAAACAGGAGGGUGACUUAAACAUUUUGUAUCUGUGUAUGUAUGUCUGUCUGUCUUUUUGUAUGUAUGUCGUGUGUGUGUGUCUGUAUGUGUGUCUGUCUGUAGGUGUGUAUGUGUCUAUGUAUGUGUCUGUUUGUAUGUAUGUGUGCCUGUUUGUAUGUAUGUGUGUUGUAUGUGUCUGUCUGUAUCUAUGUGUGUGUGUCUCUAUGUAUGUAUGUGUCUCUUAUAUGUGUGUGUGUUUGUGUCUGUCAGGGGGUAGGAAAGGGAGGAGGGGGGGGAGCCCAUUGAUCAGUUUCGCACCGGGGCCCCAUGGAUUGUGUGUACGCCACUGCUUCUCAAUGCUGGUUCUUCUUCAGUCAUCUGUCAGCAAGCAAUUCCAGUGGAACAUAGAAACUGAGUAAUUUAAGACACACACCUAUCUCCUGUUCUGACACUGAUGCACUGCCAGUGAAACCAGCAUUCAAACAUUCAUCAGGUUAGAUUGACCUGCUUGAAAAAGUAUCCCCAAGCAGGAAUAAUCAUGCUAUAGAGGGUUGGGAGCAAAGCGGGACCAGUAAGUGGGUGUUACAAUAGUGUAAAACCAUCAUACCUCUGAACAUGGUCAUGGCAUGCUGGAAACAAGGUAAGAAAAAUAUUUACAGCUAUCAAACAAUUUAGUGUAUCAUUUUCAUUAUUUAUAUUAUUUUACUAUUUAUAUUAUUUUUUAUAUUAUAAUAUUAUUUUACUUUAUUUAUCCAGAAACCAGAACGUGAUGAAUGGGGCAGCACUCUGGAAGCUAUGCAGACAUCUCUGAAUAUGGAAAAGACUGUGAACCAGGCCGUGCUGGAUCUGCACAAGCUAGCAACUGAUAGAAACGACCCCCAUGUAAGUGCUAGUAGCUAAAAUUGCCAUAAUAUGUAGGCAGCUAAACAGACCUGAAAAUGACAUUCCAUCUCGAGUUCUCUGCAGUACAAUUCUAAAUAUGGUCCUGUUUUUAUAUAUAUCUAGCCAACUCCUUGGUUUUGCAACCCUCCCUGUCACAGGUUCCUCAUCCCAGGGCCCUAUUUAGCCUUAUACUGCAGAGAACUCCAGAUGAAAUUUUCUUCCCCAAGUCAGUAGCUAAUUUAGCAGAUAGUUGACUGUUAGAGUAGGACCUGCCAAAGAUGAGGUACAUUAAUGUUGUAGCAGGCUUAUGCAAUGUAUGAUCAUAAAAUGUAACUAAACCCCCAUUGUUUUUUGCCUACAAUAUGUGUUUAAAAAAAUAAAAUAAAUAAUAUCUGUCAGCAAAAAUGUUGCUGUUUAUUAGAUAAGGGAAUGCACUGGAUUUUUAUUUUUAUUGUACUUAUUGGCUCUCAGCAGCACCCUAUUUAUGCAUGUUUAGGUGAGUGCAGCCAGCCCCUUGUUAGGUGGCAUUUGAUGCCUGUAUGAAUUUCUUCUGACUCUCCUAACGUCUAUAUUACAUUUUGUAGACCUGAAUCUGCUGUCUGAUGAUACAAUUGGACUACUUAACCCCUCUAACUUUUCUGGGUGUAGAGGGUGAACAUCUCUCAGACCCACUUUUAAAAGUGUUUAAACCAAAAUACAUAGCAAUGGAUUUCCUACUGCUUUUGGGAAGAUAACCUACAUUGUCAUGAUAGGGGAGAUCCUUACUUGAUGCCUACCUAGGACAUUGUUAUUCAAACCUAUCCUCAGGACCACAGGCUACAUUUUAUACAACUACUGCUAAUGAAAGUGGAAAUGUCAGUGGUUGUGUCAUGGUACUCCCAUGGGAAUAUCUUAAUUCUGGCCUGUUGGUGGGUCCUGAACACAAUUUGGAACAAGAGUGGUUGAGAAAAUUAGUUGAUAGUUUAAGUAUCAAAUAUAUCCAUGCAAAAUAAACAGCCUAGAUGAUAUAUGGGCUCAGUUACUAUAUAUACUACUAUCCAUGCUUUCCAAACUGAGCUUAAGCAUCUUUGGAGAGAGUGGAGACAAACAUAUGGUUUAGGGUUUGAUUGCCAAUCUUGUUGGGUAGAUGUUUACAGUUUUGAACACAACUGUAAGGAGUCUCGUUGCCUAGUUUAUUGGUUCUACCAUUGAGUUUAUGCCCUAACAAUGUUAUCUUUUUACAGUUAUGUGAUUACUUGGAAAGUGAGGAGCUCGAGGAUCAUGUGAAGCGCAUUAAGAAACUUGGCGAUCAUAUCACUAAUCUGAGACGCCUUGGGGUGCCACAGAAUGGCAUGGGAGAGUACCUGUUCGACGAGCACACCUUGCCGUAGAGUAGCCAAGAUCUUAAUCCUCAGAGAGAGAACUUCCAGCUUUCUAUACAUUCCUCCUAAUCCUUCCUCUCUCACAAAUUGUGGUGCUAAUAUGCCUUUCUACUGUCAAUAUGUAGUUGAACUGCAAUUUCCAUUAUGCUUGGUCAUGGACGUUAUAGUUCAACAACUGUUUAAAAUCAAACUGUUUGUUCUAAGCCCUGUGAAAGCAUCCAUCGGUUCUCCCAGUACAAAUUUGGCAGUGGUAAUGGCCUCUCUUUGGAAAAUAAGAAAUGUCUACUUGUCUGUGUGCUGUAGUAUUUAAGAAUAAAGAGAACAUGUCAUUCAAAAUGCAUAUUGGCUCUUGGUCUUAUUUCUAAAUUAUGUUUUCAGUUGUUACACUGUGUUUAUGAAUUAAAAGCUUACCCUCAAUCUUUUAUUUCUUACCAAAAACACACAAAUGUAGCUUAACCCCUGCAGGUUUCCCUAUCAGUGGCUUUCAUUCUUUGACAGCCAGCCAAUCAGCCUUCAUUGCCUACUAUCUACAAAAGUACGUUCCGAGAGUGAGGUCUUAUAUUAAGGAUAAUAAGCCAUUUUUGCAAGAAAUGGAUAGCAUAGAACAGGGGCGGACUGAGAACCCUCAGGGCCCCCGGGCAAAAUAAAUCAAGGGCCCCCUUACAGGCCCCACCCAUACUCUGCAGCAAGCGCCACCCUUGUCCCGCCUCCAUGCACCGCCUCCAGCCACACCCUACACAAUCUUUAGACACAAGGAACAAAAGGGCAAUAAGCCCUUCGAGGCCCCAGCAGAGACUACAAUUGAGGGCUAAUGGGCCAUGGAGGGGGGUCUUUCUAGCGGGGCUAUCUCAGUGUCCUUUAGAGAGUGUGUUAGAAAGAAUCUCCCUCCAGGCCCCAUUAGAGACUACAAUGGAGUCUAAUGGGGCCUGGAGGGUGGUCUCUCCAACACUCUGGUUUCUAUUCACAAUAUAGCAACACAACAUAGCUCGCUGAUACCUAGGCCAAGUUGGCUCUUCUUACCUUAAUUACUGUUGCUGGCUGGCAGUCUGUGGGCUUGCUUGCUGCGGCUGGCAGGCUGUGGGCUUGCUGGCUACUGCCGGCAGGCUGUGGGCUUGCUGACUGCGGCUGGCAGGCUGUGGGCUUGCUGACUGCGGCUGGCAGGCUGUGGCUUGCUGGCUGCGACUGGCAGGCUGUGGGCUUGCUGGCUGUAAGCCUGUGGCUUGCUGUAGGCCUGUGGGCUGGCUACUGGCCUGUGGGCUGGCUAACUGGCUGGCUAACUGGCUGGCUACUGGCCAGCCUGUGGGUUGGCUGGCUGGCUACUGGGGCACUUGUAAAUUAUUUAAAGAAAUAAUCUAUGCACAAUAACCACUACUGCUCCAGAGUAAGUAGUCAAACCAUUUAAGAACAGUUUGACAACUUACCUGGGAUCUGCUGGGAUAUGGGGCUGUAGUAGGGAAUAGGAGCAGUGGUGCAAUGUGUGUGAAAGGUUCAGUGUAUGUGUAGGGUGUGUGGGCUGUGUAUGUGUGUGGCAAUGUUAGUAUGGGGGGCUGUGUAUGGGGGUCUCUGUGUAUAUGGGUGGGCAGUGUAUGUGUGUGUGUGAGGCAAUGUGUGUAAAUGUGUAUGGUGUGUAUGGGGGCAGUGUGUGAAUGUGUAUGGUGUGUGUUUGGGGGCAGUGUGUUUAUGGGGCUAGAGUUCACUCUCACCACUGCGACCACCAGGAAUCCCUGGGGGUCACAGUGUUGAGAGNNNNNNNNNNNNNNNNNNNNNNNNNNNNNNNNNNNNNNNNNNNNNNNNNNNNNNNNNNNNNNNNNNNNNNNNNNNNNNNNNNNNNNNNNNNNNNNNNNNNAGAAUUAACAAGUGAAGUUGCGACAAGGUAAGGUCACCAACUGGGACAUAGAGGACCCAGGUUCAAUCCCAGCCAGGCCCUGAGAAGUGAUGAUCACGCCUGGCAGUCUGCUUGGCACGGUGCAAACCCUGCCACACUUGAUGUGACAUCGUUAUAUACAGUGAUCAGCUAUUAUUAAGGAACAGAGGCUGUAAAAUUUGACAUGGAUAAAGAUGAUGAAAUGUCUAAGGAAUUAAAAUAUUUCCUUUCACUAUCUGGUAAAUUUAUUUUGGAACAUAAUUAUUUUUAUUUUGAGGUUAAGUAUUAUUUGCAAGUUAGGGGUAGCGCCAUAGGCACCAAGUUUGCCUCUAGUUAUGCCAACAUCUACAUGGUGAGAUGGGAGAACCUUUUUAUGUAGUUUGAACAUGACACAGAGGGAAAACAUGGUGACAUCAUUAUAAUUUGGAGGAGGUUUAAAUCUUGAUUUAAUAACUUUGUACAUGACCUUAAUUCUCUUCAAUAUAAUUUAAAAUUUACAUUGACAUGGAACAAGAAAGCAAAAGGACAACUUACAAGGGUGAGACCAAGUUGUUCUGAUAUAUAGGAUAUAUCUGAUAUAUAGGAUUUCAGGUUACAAGCAGGACAUAUAAAAAUAAAUUAGUUUAAAAAGGUUAAAAUAGAGGGGCAGAGCCUGACUCUUCAGCUAACCGGACGUGUUCUGUGUGCUCCCACUAUCUAUGCUGAUUCCCUCGAAAAUAUCAUGGGCUACCAUGGAAAUUUCAAGCUGAGGUGCUACCUAUCUGAGGGGCAACCCAACUAAUCUUUUGAGACUUCUACCACAGCCUGUAGCCACCAGGAUCCGUGGCGGCAGGUUGUGGCCUACUAACAGGUUGUGGAAAACUUCCCCACUCAAUGCUGUACAGUCUGGUGAAUCUUCUAUUCCCCCCUCUGUACCGGUGGGGGUUAUCCCGGUCAACACUGAGCUGACCUGUUGAAUUGUUCUAGCUCCAGACGCCUGCCUCUUGAUCUGCAGCAGCCAUUCCUCACAGGGCUGCUAGUUUAAACUGGUCUGGCAGUGUCCCUAGGACAAUAAGACAAUGCUCUGCUGGGGAAACAAUAGGACAGGAAAAAGGGUGAGGGGAAGGGGGAAAGGCACAGACUCUCAAUACAUUCAACAUGCUGUCACGGCUUCUAGUGUGGUCCAACAUGCAGAAACUAUGUAAACAUAUACAUAAAAAGGAAAGGAAAUAAAAGGACAGAGCGUAAACCGGACCUUAGAAUGGCCGGACUAAUACGCUAGAGAUAGAGAAUGGUCAAAGGGAAAGCCAAGGUCAAGGAAGCCAGAAAUACUCAGAUACUGUUUAAACAAGCCAAGUCGGGGGAACCAGAAUUCGGAAUAACCAGGGAAAAGCCAAGAUCAGGAUACCAGGAAGUAAUAUUCACAAAGAUAAGUGCACUCUAGGGAACCAGGAACAGGAAACCACGACAGGGCAAGGUACUGGGGUGAAUUAGGGAUUUAAAUAUCCCUCUCUAGGCUCUGAUUGGUCAGAGGGUGACCUCUGACCCCAGAACGUGCGCGUGUGUUGACGUCGUGACGUCACACGCACGUUCAUAUAAUUUUGGGGGGUGGAGCCAUGGAUGGACGCAACCUCAUGGUCGGUGCCAUCUUUGAUUUCCCCGAGCGGCGUGGAGGAGCGGUUCCCGUCUCGCCGAUGAGCAGGUAAGCUCAGUGAGUUGGUGCGGUCGUGCCGGUCGGGCACGGACGCACAUGGCGGCGAGCCGGGGAACGUGACACAUGCACUGCACCAAUACUGGGCACAGGGUGCCAAAACACAAGAGUAAUCUGGGGACCCACACAUAGUGUCUGUCUUCCAUCCCCACUGAUGGUGACUUCCAUCACAGAACAGUUUCCAUUUAAGACAGAUAUUGACUGCUGCACAGACUUUGUAGUGUAUAUGCAAGAAUGUCCGUGUGGCAAGCAAUAUAUAGGCCGUACUAAAAGUGCUUUAAAGAUUAGGACCAUGGAACAUAUAAACAACAUAAAAAAGGCUAUAUGUCUCAUCAAUCCCAGUACAUUGUAAUUCAUGUCCAUUAUUUAACUUCCGUUGCAUUGGAAUUGAAAAGAGAUACCCUCAUUGGAGAAGUUAUACCCUCAUCUAAGACUGGUAUCUAUAGAUAUCAUUAAUGUUUGAAACAACAACCACAAUUUUAUGUUAUCAUCCUUAUAUUAAAACUUUUAUCCAGUGAAAAGCCUGUUUACUUCAUGCUCAUAGAAAUUGUUGUUUGCAUAUAAAUAUAAUUAAAUUAGUUUAUUAAACUUUCUCCAUAUAUAAACCCACAAGAAUUUAAUAUUUCAGCGAUCAAAAAAUGCCAUUUGACAUAAAGACUCUACAUCCAGAAAUGGAUUUACUCCUUCAGAACCAAUGAAAGACGUGCCUGUAAUGGAGCAUCUGUACCCAGAGUGGAACCUCCGCUGUAGAUUCUCCCAGGUCCAGUAGUGAAGCAGUGAUUAUAACUCCUGCAUAUCCAAACACCAGCCGAGACUUACUGAAGGAUACAAAAAGAACUGGUUUGUUCAUCCAAAAGCAUACAUUUAUACACAGACCCUCAGCUAUUCAGGAACCCUUAAAGGGACACUCCAGGCACCCAGACCGCUUCAGCUCAUUGAAGUAGUCUGGGUGCUGUGACCCUUUUGCACUUAGAGAACUGCAAUGUUUACAUUGCAGCUCUAAGUCUGCCCUCAGUGGCUGUCUACCAGACAGCCACUGGGGGCGCUUCUGGAAUCUAAACAGACUUUUGGUCCGUUAUCUCACGGACCUCCAGUGUCAGAUUUUCCCCAUAGGAAUAACUAUUUUCGGACACUGAAACUCCCGCACACUUCUGAACUUCCAGGAUCGCCUGUGUUCGGUUCUACACCAUGUAAAAGGGCACUGUUCAGAGGAAUUGUUCCCAUGAACAAGGUGAACAAGCUCCAGGGUAUGAACACUGACUAUGUUGGGUAGUUUGUUCGGUUUUUAAGCUACCGGACUUGACCGACCGCAAGCCCUGAUUCUCUGGAGCUGUUUUGGGCAUGGGACCAUGCGUGCGGUCGGUCAAAUUAUGACUUCCAGGAAAUUCCCUUCAAACAUGCAACUGUAACCCCAAUUCUAAAGAAGCCCAACCUUGACCCUAACUCCCCGUCCAACUAUUGUCCUAUCUCGCUAUUGCCUUUUGCAUCCAAGAUCCUUGAAAGAGUUGUGUAUGCGAGAUUGACAGACUUCCUCAAGUCCAGUUCUCUGCUAGACCUGCUUCAGUCUCGUUUCUGUGCUAAGCACUCGGUGGAAAUGGCACUGACCAAAGCAUCCAAUGAUCUACUUGCUGCAAAAUCUUGUCGUCACUACUCAAUCCUAAUUCUCCUUGACCUUUCUGUGGCUUUUGACACUGUUGAUCAUCAACAGCUCCUUCUCAUCCUCCACAAUAUCGGCCUACAAGAUAUUGCUCUCUCCUGGUGCUCCUCCUACCUCUCCCAGCACUCUUUCAGUGUUUCUUUCUUUGGCUUUGCUUUUUCUCCCCAACUCCUCUCUGUUGGUGUCCCCUAAGGUUCAGUCCUUGGUCCCUUACUGUUCUCCAUCUAUACUGCCUCCCUUAGUAAACUCAUUAGCUCCUUUGGCUUCCAAUAUCAUUUUCAUCCGGAUGACACGCAAAUUUAUCUGUCCUCUCCGGAUCCCUUUUGACUAGUUUCUCUGACUGCCUCUCUGCUUUUUCUAACUGGAUGGCUACCCACUUCCUUAAACUCAACUUGACCAAAACUGAAAUUCUGGUCUUUCCUCCCUCAAGUGUUGCUACUCCUGUGUCUGUCUGUCUCCAAGUCAACGGUGAUAACAUCAGCUCCAGCACGCACGCUCGCUGCCUAGGUGUUCUCUUUGAAUCCGACCUCUCCUUCAUGCUUCAUGUUCAGUCUAUCGCCAAAUCCUGCCGCUUCCAUCUCAAAAACGUUACGCGCAUCCGACCCUACUUAAAGGACCACUAUAGGCACCCAGAUCACUUCAGUUUAAUGAAAUGGUCUGGGCGCAAGGUCCCUCUAGGGUUAACCCUGCCUGCUGUAAACAUAGCAGUUUCAUAGAAACUGCUAUGUUUACAUAUGGGUUAAUCCAGCCUCUAGUGGUGGGAAGGGACGGUGAGACCCCAGCCAAGCUGCGGCAGCUAAGGGGCUAUGGUGCUUAUGGUGUUGGGUGCGGGGCUUAUGGUACUCAGCGGCAGCUAGGAAGCAACGAUUGGUGGAGGCACCCAGCGACAUGGGAUGGGGGGCGGGAGGUAGGCACUCCAGGAUUCUCUAGUGCCAGGAAAAUGUUUUUUUUCUCCUGGAGAGUCCCUUUUAGCCCACUCAGGCAUCUCUGUGUCUGGGAGAUAAUUGAGUUUAUAACCGGUAAACUAAUUAUCUCCCUGAUACAGAUAGCUGAACCCAGGAAAUACCCCAAAAACACCCAUUAAACACGUCAUAUAUCAUUUUAAAGAGAUCAGAGCACCCAUCCUAGGAAAUUAGUGCUCUGAUCCCUGAAUAAUGCAUUGAGAGUCCCAAACUCUUCAGUAGGACGUCUCUGUGUUUUCCUUGGAACUCUGGCUCGGCCACACUUACCACCUGGGCCUAGUCAGUUUGUAUCACAUCAUUCUGAAUGAUAAAACCAGUUAUACUGCCAGAAAUAUGUCCUGUCUAGUUAUUGGGGGAACGGAGCUAUAUUCACCAACAGUUCUAUUUCUGUCUGAGAGGAGAGUUUAGGGUUACAAGUUGUCCGCUACACUAAUUAUCUCCCGGAUACACAAAGUACAAAACAUAAAAUAUCCCAAAACACAGGUAAUAUUGUCCAGUGCCCCCACAUGCCAUAUAUUAUUAUUAUUAUUAUUAUUUUAUUAUUUAUAUAGCGCCAACAAAUUCCGUAGCGCUGUACAAUAUAUCCCCGGAAAGAUCUCUCUGGAGCGUCCACCUUCUAUGGAAACCCUGAUCGUAUAUGGCUAGCCCGAAUUCUAUUAUAGUACAAAGUUCAGCAGAAUGUGGCUAGCCUCCAAACCAAAGAAGAGUUUCAGAGUGCUGGAUAGAGUUUCCCAGUCACAUUAAAGCAUGGCACUUUUCGUGAUGUUGUUCAAAGCCUCUAUACCUCCUCUGUUAACUCUCCAAAGAGCAACCUGGUGUCCAAAAUUGCUCUUGUUAAACUUUUAGUGGACCGUGUUAACUCUGCUAUCCACUUUAGAGUCCCAGGGUGAAUGAGAGUCACUCCCGGUCAGACGCACCAUGUCUCAGCAUCCCUCUGGUGGAAGAUAGGUGGCUAUAAACAGCCAGAAAGGAGCACUGGGCUGGGAGACAUGGGUUGGAGUGUUAGUCCAUAGUAUGGCUUAGGUGACCAAAGGGUCCAUCACAUUGAUAUAUCUGAUUUCUCCUAGUCUUCUGCUACUUUCUAACUUCUCAGUGGUACCACUGCUAAUUACCAUGUUAUUUAGUUUAAUUUCUUCUUACCUGCUGCUGUUUUAACUCCCUACUGACAUGUAUGCUCUAUCGUUUUACGUCAUAUAAUAUACUAUCCAUGUCUGGAUGAUCUUCUCAGCUUUCAAAAGCCUAGGAUUACUUACCAUCUGAGACAUGUAUGCAUAUCCUAGAUUUAGCCUGACUUUACUUUUUUUUUUUAAAUCUAAAAUAUAAGUAAAAUCUUUGAUAAAGAGUAUUUAAAAACAAGCAGAAAGAUUAAACACACAUUUCCAUUUAACAGCUCUGAAACACGUUCCAUGAUAAGAUGCUAUUCCCUUGUGAAUAACAUGACAAUGCAGAAAUUCAAGCCAGUAAUUCAACCUGUAACAUAAAAGCCAUCGCUGAAAUGAAUCAGCAGAAUCUCCCUGCACUCAUUGGUUCUCAGCUAAUGGGAAGGUGAGAUCUGACUUCAUUUGUGGAAAUAAACAGAAUAUAUAAGUCGCCGCAGCUACUGCAGAAUCACCGUCAGAGAAAGUUCUUGCUUCAACAGUGAUUGAACGGAACUGCUUCUGAUAUUCAGAAACAAAAUCAUUUUAUUCUACCAGUUCUUUAAGAUCAACAGAAACAUGAACUCUCAAGUACGUCAGAACUACAGCCAUGACAGCGAGGCAGCCAUUAACCGCAUUGUGAACCUUAAAAUGUUUGCGUCGUACACCUACCUAUCCUUGGUAAGUUGAAAAAUAUCUUGAUAUUUGACAGUGUUUAUAGUAGUUUUUAUAGUAAACUACCAUGUUUCCUAUAUUCAAAUAUAAGAAAAACACUGUCAGACAUAUUUCUAAUUAAUCUGUUUUAAGAAAAGCUAUAUGUCUGUCUGUCUGUCUAUAUCUACUAGGAAUCUAUAUAUCGAUCAAUAUAUCCACAACUGUUGUCCAUUUUUUAGUCUUACUACUUUGACCGCGAUGAUGUGGCUCUCCAUCAUGUGGCAGAGUUUUUCAAGGAGCACAGCAACAAGGAGCAGGAGUGUGCCGAAAAAUUUCUGAAUUGUCAAAACAAGCGCGGAGGGAGGAUCAUUCUGCAGGAUGUGAAGGUAAACACGAGCAAUGACAAACAACAUUUGGGGUCUGGGAAAGGUAAUCUGUAUAAAUACAACUACUAGCAGUCUAAGCCAGUUGCAAUUAUUUGCUGUUUAUUGAAUCAGCCUUCAUACCGAGAGGGCUUUUAUCAAGACCUUUAUAAAGGUCUUGAUAAAAGUCCUCUUGGACUGUAACAUCGAUAUCUGUAUUGUGCUGAAUAAAAAGCAUCUACUUUAUUUCUACUAAGACCCCUGAGUGCACUCGUCUUGUUUGCAUAUAUUCUGGUUGGAGCUAGCACCAGGGCAUUUACAAGACCUGGGAACCUGGAUAUAGUUAUUUUUUAUGUUGCAACACAUUCACAAUAUAGGGAGAUAUGUUUCCUUAAAUGAUUAAAGAAAAGUGAGAAAUCUAAUGUAAUGUAUUUCGAUUCCCCAGAAACCAGAACGUGAUGAAUGGGGCAGCACUCUGGAAGCUAUGCAGACAGCUCUGGAUCUGGAAAAGAAUUUGAACCAGGCCAUGCUGGAUCUGCACAAUCUAGCAACUGAGAGAAAUGACCCCCAUGUGAGUUUUAUUACAUAACAUUGCCAUAAUAUCGGAAUGCCUAUAUAAAGACAUGUAGCCAUAGCUGGAAAUAGCUUGGCUUUUUGAUUACGUUUUUAUUAUAGAAUAGAAUGUUCCUAUAAAUAUAUUUUAUUAACCUUUCUCACUUUGAUCAGUGUUUGCAUGUGUUAUUAUAUUAUUGCCAGUAGAGGGCUGAGUAUCAUUGGUUAUAAAUGCCGGUAUAUACAGCAACCUGAUGAAUACAUGUUUAGCUGUCAUUUGAUGUCUGUAUGAACGGCUUCUAACUCUCCUAAUGUUUAUAUUACAUUUUGUAGACCUGAAUCUGCUAUCCAAUCAUACAACAGGGCUUUUUACCCCUCUAAGUUUUCUGGAUGUAGAGGGUAAACAUCUCUCAGACCCACUUUAAAUCUGUUUAUAACAAAACCAAUAGCAAUGGAUUUCCUACUGCUUUUCGGAAGAUAACCUACAUUGUGAUGAUUGGGGAGUUCCUUACUUUGGGCAGACUAUAUGGGCCGAAUGGUUCUUAUCUGCCGUCACAUUCUAUGUUUCUAUGGUGUCUACCUAGAACAUUGUUCUUCAAACUUAUCCUCUUGACCCACAGGCUACAUUUUAUACAAUUACUGCUAAUGAAAGUGAGAAACUCAGUGGCUGUGUCAUGGUACUUCCAUAAGAAUAUAUAUAUAAAUAUAUAUGUAUGGGUACACCAAAUUUUCUUUUUAUAUUCUGUAUAUAUUAAAUAAAAAUAAAAGACUAUAGUAGCAACUUAUUAUAAUAAAAUACACUUAUGUUCCAAUUAAUGGUUACAUGUAUUGUAUUAUAAUAAGUUGUUACUAUAGUCUAUUAGUCGUAUUUAUUAUAUGCAGACUAUUAAGAAAAAUGCACACAUAUAUUUUUUUUUAUUCCUGUUGAAUUAUUUAGUUGCUCGGUUUGGGCUGCUGCCUUUUCAAUCCAUUUCUAUAAAUUUUUAUUAAAUUCCACUUUGUUGUUUGACUCCCAUGGGAAUAUCUUAAAUUCUGGUCUGUUGGUGGAUCCCGAACACAAUUUGGAACAAGAGUGAUUGAGAAAAAAAAAUUGUUCCUCAGAUUAUGUAUCAAAUAUAUAUAAUUCUAGAUGAGAUCUGGGCUCCGUUACUAUUUAUACUCCUAUACUUGCUUUCCACACUACGCGUAAGCAUCUUUGGGGAGAGUGGAGACAAACAUGGUUUUAGGGGUUGAGUACUGAUGUUGUUGGAUAUAUGUGCACUGCGGCAUUGCGCAUAACUGUAAAGAGUCUUGUGGACUAGUUUAUUGGUUCUGAAUCUGAGUUUAUGUCUUAACCCUGUUGUCCUUUUACAGUUGUGUGAUUACUUGGAAAGUGAGCAGCUGGAGGAAUAUGUGAAGAACAUUAAGAAACUUGGCGAUCAUAUCACUAAUCUGAGACGCCUUGGAGUGCCACAGAAUGGCAUGGGAGAGUACCUGUUCGACGAGCACACCUUGUCGUAGAGCAGCAAAGAUCUCCAUCCUCAGAGAGAGCACAUCCAGCAUUCUAUACAUUCCUCCUAAUCCUUCCUCUGUCACAAAAUGUGAUGCUAUAUGACUAUCUCUACUGUCAAUAUGUCAUUGAACUGCAAUUUCCAUUAUGUUUGGUCAUGGAAGUUAUAGUUUAAAAUCAAACUGUUUGUUCUAAGCCCUGUGAAAGCAUCCACUGGUAAUCCCCAAAUAAGUUUGGUAAUAGCCUCUCUUUGGAAAAUAAGAAAGUUUUGCUCGCCUGUUUUCCUGUUUUCCGAACAUUAAAGAGAGCAUGUCAUUCAAAAUGCAUAUUGGCUCUUGUUAUUAUUUGUAAAUGAUGUUUGUAGAUGUUACACUGUGUUUAUAACUUAAAGGUCUAUCGUCAGUAAAUGAUGUUCUGUGUUUCUCCUUUUUA
rnacentral:lncRNA from 1 species